GCGUGGGUGGUGAAACUGGCAAACACAUACGUCUCAGAAGCGUAUGGGGUAACCCUUGGGGGUUCAAGUCCCCCCCCGCGCA
rnacentral:tRNA from 1 species